CUUCACCUCUGACUUGGGAGUCAUUGCUUGAUCAAUUGCUUGGGCAGUGGAUAGCGACAUUCUGUCAGCACUGUUGCGAUAAACCUCCUGAGUUGUCCACAGUGGAUAAGCCCAUGGAGGUGGCUUUUGCAAGAAUGCAUCCCCGUUGGCCAAUGGAAUGCCCCCUUUAGAAAGCUUCUGGGAAUUAGAUGUAUCUUUAGCACUGCCACAACGAAUUCCAAAAACAAAUAGAGCAAUGGGAGAGUGUUAUCAUGUACGUUUUACACUCGAUACGAUUAACGAAACCAAGAAAAGAUGGUAACUUCCUAUAAGAUUUAUCUUUAGCAUUGCCACAACAAACUUCAGAAAAAAGAACAAAGUGAGUAUUAUCAUGUAUAAUUUUACACUUGGAACUAAUAAUGGGGCAUAGAAAAGAAGAUGACUUCCUAGUAAAAGUAAUAGAUAAGUAGACAAGGAUUACAUUUAAGAAAUUUUAUAUUUACCUGGGUGUUUCUGCUUUCAAAACUUCUACGGAGAUCAUGUACGGCGCUUUUUCCCUAGAAUUCAGAAGAAUGGAUUCGUCUUCGGGAAUAUGAACAACACGAUAAACUCCUCUCCCCAUUGGAAAACAAAUUCCUGGAAGGUUAUUGGAAAGAAAAUGAGUAUCUGAUAACAAAGACAGUCACCACAACACAAUCAAUGUAGAUGAUAGAAAAAUACAUGAACCCAAAAAUGCUUCCAAAGGUUGAAGUGUAUAUGCUAAAAGGAUUGGACCACAUGAUUGUCUCAAGGUCAAAGGAAAUCCUAUAUAAGAUAAAUGAUAAAAGAGAACCAAGAACGAGGAAAAAAAUCUCCAAACAAGGGUGGAACGACUGUAUUAUGUUCUGAAAAUCUAAUCAGACAAGACAAGACAAUGACCAACAUCUACCCUACGUGGAACUUGUGUGGACAACAGAAAUAUGAUACAGAGGAGAUACUACUUUUUAAAGACAAGAAACAUGAUGUAGAUCUCAGCAAUAUAGAACGGGCUAAAUGUUUUCACAUACUCUCUCAGAGAAAAGCAUACGUGACCGAGAUAAUGUAUGCCAGCUCAAGAGAUAUGAGUUACACAAGUAAAGUAAACCUCCAAAUGAUAUCCCUUAAGAUCUAAUUUAAGAGAAUACCUCCGGUGAUUUCAGCUUCAGAUAAAUGAAAGUUAAUCUCUGCAAGAGACUAAAACCAAACGGAAGAAACAAGAAAUAUAGUCAGUUGCUUAAAUUUAACACUUGAAACUUAGUCAUAAAAAUGGAAAGUCAGGCAGAAAUGAUCACCUCCCGAAGAGCAAUCUUCCGAUUUUCAAUGGGAAAAAUAUCUACCAAGCCAUACGAUGUUUCACAUAACGCUUGUACAAACUCCAACGACUCAUGGUAAGCCCCUUUCCUGAAGUGUGAUGCGGUAUUGUUUGGUAGUGGGGGCUUACCAGAUGGAGUAUCAUCCCGCUGUCUAGGUGAACCUGGCCGCUUCUGCAAUGGUUACAUUUAGAAAGAUUGGUAUGAGCAGAAUCAAGCACAUAUUGCAGUAAAGAAUUUCCGCAUAGAUAAGUAAUCAAUUGCAGUCGAGAACACCCUGUUUCAGCUAAUAUUUGCGUCAAGAAAAUUUCACAAAAAGUCGAGAUAUAUGAUUAUAUCCUACAAGAAUCUUGACAAAUGAAUCUGUAGAUAUGGAUCGGAACAAAGGCGAAUGUAAGGACAGUGCAGAUGACAGAAACAUAACGAGCAAGUCAAAUGAGAGCAAACCUCUUUGUGUUUCUUUGAUCCAAAUAUCUCAGAAUCUUCAACAGACUGGUCACGGUCUCUAAACAAUUUACGGAAAAAGUUCUCCGUCCCAGGACUGCUUUCAGCUAAGCCAUUGCUGGUAUUUCCAUUUUCUGAAGUAGGUUUUGCGUCUUCUGGGUGUAUACGGAAUAAUCUUUUGAACAGAGAAAAUUCUGGAGAUUCAUCACCCUCGCUUUCAUUCCCGUCAUCAGCUUUGACAAUGUCUUUCUUGUCGUCAGGCUUUUCCUUAAAGAACUUUUUAAAGAAACCCUCCCUUUCAUCCUCUUCACCAGGUUUAUCAUCAGCAAGCACUGCUCCAUUCGUCUCGUUCUUUUCAUUAGCCUGUCUUUUGUCAUCAGAUUUAUCCUUGAAAAGUUUCUUAAGAAACCCAUCUUUGUCCUCAUCAUCCAUUGCUUUAGGACCUUUCUCUUCCUCGUUUUUGCUGUCACGGAAUAGUUUCUUGAAGAACCCUUCUGAGUUUGCAUUUGAAUCCUCAUCCUCGUUUUUAUUCUCCCGUAAUAACCUCUUGAAAAAACUCUCUGAGUUUGCAUUCAGUUCCUCUUCAUCGCCCUUAUUGUCUCGUAACAGCCGCUUAAACAGCCCAUCUGAACUCGAUGUCAAUUCCUCAUUUUCUCCUUUACUACUUAAGAGCCUCUUAAAGAACCCCUCAGAACUGUUUGUUAUCUCCUCGUCUUCUGAUUUAUUGUCUUUCAUAAGGCGCUUAAAGAAACCCUCCGAGUUAGAUGUUGGCUCAUCACCGUCACCUUUGCUGUCCCUCAUGAGCUUCUUGAAGAAUCCUUCCUUUUCACUCUCUUCAUCAUCUUUGUCAACUGACUUUCUAAACAUCAAAGCAUCUCUAACUUUAGGACUUGGGAUAAGUUUCUUAAAAAUCUUAUUAUCCUCAGAAGGUAAUUGACUACCAUCAUCCUGCGUGCUUCUCCCUGGCGACGGUGAGAACGACAAAGACUUCUGGGAAGGCGGAGAUAAGUUCAACGAGAAGAGCUUCUGUUUCGAUGACAACAGUCUACUUAGGACCUGAUUCUUGCUCCCAGGAGUUGAAACCUCAUUCUGUGGACGCAUAAGAGGAGACCACUCACCCAUCAGAGUAGCUGCAAUCUGACACUUCUCCUGAAUCCUGCUAAUACCUUCAUUAUCAUCAGAAUCCUCCAGCUCAGCCAACAAAAACCAAUGCACUUUCAGCGCAAUCUUCAAUGACUUGCAAAUGAAUUGAGCAUCAGAGUUAUUGCAACAAUUCAAUGACUAAAAAGAGACAUCAUGUAUCAGAUAGAAUUCAAAUGGCGAAAACAUACAGGUAAUUGCCGUCUAUAAGUUAUCAAUUAAGACGCACUCACCCUUACUUCCUCCAUGGCAACAGUACUUGGAACACGACGAUGUUCCUUUUUACGUGGGACUGCUGGAUCAGGAAUACUUUCCAUUCGAAGUCCUGGGUCAGCCGUCACGACCACCCUUACCCACUCAAGAUCAGUGUUGAGACCAGUACUGGGGGCCUCAGACAGAACAUCAUCAAAUGGAUCACUCAGUGAUGCAAGAGCUGAAGUACAAUUCUCCACUGAGAGGCUCACAUUGACAAGCUUCACCUUCACCUCUGACUUGGGAGUCAUUGCUUGAUCAAUUGCUUGGGCAGUGGAUAGCGACAUUCUGUCAGCACUGUUGCGAUAAACCUCCUGAGUUGUCCACAGUGGAUAAGCCCAUGGAGGUGGCUUUUGCAAGAAUGCAUCCCCGUUGGCCAAUGGAAUGCCCCCUUUAGAAAGCUUCUGGGAAUUAGAUGUAUCUUUAGCACUG
rnacentral:lncRNA from 1 species